rnacentral:lncRNA from 1 species
UGUUUGGGAUGAAGGAAAGUUGCCAACACUGGGCAUGAGCUGGUCAAUGGUCAAAUGCAGCUUGAAAGGUACGCAAACUUGAAGAGCAUGAAAGAGUUGAUUUACAUGAGAGUUUACGACAACCUUAACAUGUAGAUUAUUCCUUUGACUGAUUACCCCAUUGUGGAGAAAGUUUUUUGUUUCUUAACUUCUAUGUUUAAUUGUUACACCGAGUAUCACAUAAGUUACUAAUAAAACGUCUGAUGUUGAAUUCAAAGAAGUUUUUAUAUAUUUAUAAAAUAGGGUAGGGAUAUGGUAAAAAGUGUCUAAAAU